rnacentral:misc_RNA from 1 species
UCAUUUCUCAACGCCAUAAGAAAAAGGCACUCUCUCUCUCUUCCCUCCUCUUCAUUUCUCCAUUAAUUCUUUUAUCUCUCAUGCGUUUCUCUAAGCACCAACUCUUCUAAAGAGAGAGAGAAAGAGAGAGAAUGGCAUCUGGGUUCUCCGGCGGUGGCGCAGAUUUCUACACCGGCAUCGCGGGUAGAUCCAUAACGAACAUGAAUUCCAACAACCCAUCACAACCUUCAUAUAGAA